rnacentral:lncRNA from 1 species
UUUUGAACAAAUUUCUGGGAAAAGCGCAAGGAUGGGUCUGCUAUGAGCUGUCCGCCAGUGUGGUGCUGAUAUGCACAUUAUGCCACCUAGCUAUUGAGGAGCCGGGGAGCUGUCCCUGCAACAGCCACAGCGAACUCCUGCUGCUUGACUCUGCCGCACAGCAAAGGUGAAAAGUCAUCCCUGACGAUUGGGAGAGCUCAUAGGCUAUGGCCUUUCAAAACAUUCUUCACUAAGGGGAGAGCUGAGUCUGGUGAGGAUGGAGGGCUGCGGUUCAAGUCAGCUAUAAAAGAGUCUGAACUCUCUCCUAGUCUCUUUGGUCCAGGGCGAUGACUUGUCUGGGAAAUGUGGAAUACAACAAAGGAGUCUGUGUAGACAACUUGCCUAGUUUGGUGCUGAUUUUUAGGUAAGUGAGAAGUAAAACCUGCAAGUGCUUCUUUCCUGAAGCAUCUCAAGGAAAUGUGCCACCAGGGCCUUCUUCUGGGAUGUACUCUCCUAAGAGCAUUUCUGGGCUCAGGG